ensembl:lncRNA
GAAGACGUGUUCUUUGUUGGGGAUAGUAAAGAUAGACGCACACUCUCUCCUGCUGAGAAGGAUGCCAGUAUGCUCUGCUUGAAAGCUGUCAGACUGGAUGAGGACAAAAAGUGGUCGGUACACUACACUUCCCAGAAGCCUCAGCAGGAGACACGACCCUCUUGUGUGGAUGACCGCCGCACCGUACUCAGAGAGUGCAGCAAGAAGCUCAGGAGAGUUGGGUAUGGCAGUUCACAGUACUUCUCCCAAAACCCUGCCUACCUCAGCCCCAGCCUAUCAGAGAACAGGCUGCAUGAUGACAUGGGCAGGAACGACAGACACCGGAAAAGGUAAACACACACACACACACACACAGACACAGACACACACACAUGCACACGCACAAAACACGCUCACACACACACACACACACACACACAGACACAGACACACACACACACACACACACACACAAACUCUCCCUCUGGGGAAGACUUAAUAUAAACUAAUGAUUGCAACACAACCUCAUCACAACUUUAAUCACAAUCCAAACAAGAUAUCAGAUAAGAUAUAAGGG